AAACAGGAUUAGAUACCCUGGUAGUCCACGCUGUAAACGAUGUCGAUUUGGAGGUUGUUCCCUUGAGGAGUGGCUUCCGGAGCUAACGCGUUAAAUCGACCGCCUGGGGAGUACGGCCGCAAGGUUAAAACUCAAAUGAAUUGACGGGGGCCCGCACAAGCGGUGGAGCAUGUGGUUUAAUUCGAUGCAACGCGAAGAACCUUACCUACUCUUGACAUCCAGAGAAUUUAGCAGAGAUGCUUUAGUGCCUUCGGGAACUCUGAGACAGGUGCUGCAUGGCUGUCGUCAGCUCGUGUUGUGAAAUGUUGGGUUAAGUCCCGCAACGAGCGCAACCCUUAUCCUUUGUUGCCAGCACAUUAUGGUGGGAACUCAAAGGAGACUGCCGGUGAUAAACCGGAGGAAGGUGGGGAUGACGUCAAGUCAUCAUGGCCCUUACGAGUAGGGCUACACACGUGCUACAAUGGCGUAUACAAAGAGAAGCGGCCUCGCGAGAGCAAGCGGAACUCAUAAAGUACGUCGUAGUCCGGAUUGGAGUCUGCAACUCGACUCCAUGAAGUCGGAAUCGCUAGUAAUCGUAGAUCAGAAUGCUACGGUGAAUACGUUCCCGGGCCUUGUACACACCGCCCGUCACACCAUGGGAGUGGGUUGCAAAAGAAGUAGGUAGCUUAACCUUCGGGAGGGCGCUUACCACUUUGUGAUUCAUGACUGGGGUGAAGUCGUAACAAGGUAACCA
rnacentral:rRNA from 1 species